UGACAAAAGCAAGACCAGCCAGCAUGGGA
rnacentral:piRNA from 1 species